rnacentral:rRNA from 1 species
AAAACGACUCUCGGCAACGGAUAUCUCGGCUCUCGCAUCGAUGAAGAACGUAGCAAACUUCGAUACUUGGUGUGAAUUGCAGAAUCCCGUGAACCAUCGAGUCUUUGAACGCAAGUUGCGCCCGAAGCCAUUAGGCCGAGGGCACGUCUGCCUGGGCGUCACGC